AAACAACAAUUACUUGUCAGUGAAGUGGGCCCUAAACCAAAAACCUUAGCAUUCAAACAUAAAGGACAUGUAUGCUAAUAUAUUCGCAGCCAUACAACAUCUGUACACCACAGCACCUACUUGACCGGACAUAUAUAAGUAAGCCUGUGCCGGAAGGUUCACCUUUACCAGCUUGGCCGGUGACAGACGCAAGUGGCUCUCCUUACAUGACCCUGGGAAAAGAGAUUGAACUGAGGAAUUCAUUUUAUGAAAGGAGUCGUUCUCUUUGGUAUGGCUUGUAUCAGAAGUACUACAGAGCGCCACGGCCAACACAGCCUCCAACAAAAGGCCGCGCUGACCUGUAGUUUUUUCUUAUUGAAACUGUUAUAUAGGAACUCGGCUCGUACCUAUAAAAAAGAUGAGGCGAUAGGGCAAGGCAGUUUGGAUCGAGACUAAUAAAAAAGUUGGAUUGUAAAUAUAUGUUUUUUUUUGUAUAAAAAAUAAAGACGUAAUUGGAUUUUGUAUCAUA